ACCCCCUGGCGAUGGGCAAAGAGACACCUGAUUGGCGGUGCUGCUCUUCUGUCAGUCAGGGGCAAAGUGGGUGUCUAGCCCUUUUUCCAUCUUAGCUUGAUGCUUGGGUUGGUGGCCAGAGUUGUUUCAUGCCUGGGGGUCCGGG
ensembl:snoRNA